AGAGUUUGAUCCNUGGCUCNGAUUGAACGCNUGGCGGCAGGCUUAACACAUGCAAGUCGAACGGUAACAGGAAACAGCUUGCUGUUUCGCUGACGAGUGGCGGACGNGUGAGUAAUGUCUGGGAAACUGCCUGAUGGAGGGGGAUAACUACUGGAAACGGUAGCUAAUACCGCAUAACGUCGCAAGACCAAAGAGGGGGACCUUCGGGCCUCUUGCCAUCAGAUGUGCCCAGAUGGGAUUAGCUAGUAGGUGGGGUAACGGCUCACCUAGGCGACGAUCCCUAGCUGGUCUGAGAGGAUGACCAGCCACACUGGAACUGAGACACGGUCCAGACUCCUACGGGGCGCAGCAGAAGGGCGAAUUCU
rnacentral:rRNA from 1 species